rnacentral:lncRNA from 1 species
CUUUAAUACAAAUAUAUACCUUUUUAAAAUGUGUUUCAUGUUAAAUAUAGAAAUAUGAGACAACUAGAUAUCAAAUGAAAUAGAAGUUAAUUACUCUUUCCUUUCCUAAGAUAGUGGUGUAACAGUAUAACAUAAGAACAAUCCAUUAAAAUCAUGUGACAAGUACUUAAAUCAUCAGAUCGAUACAAAGCAAACAGACAUCUCACAAAAACACAGACAGGACGUAGCAGGGUAUUUAUACAUCAACACAACAAACACAGAC